rnacentral:rRNA from 1 species
AUGCUCUUCGCGCGCCGCGACAUCGAGGCCGCGGGCGCCGGCGCCGGCGCCGGCCAGGACGGCUCGCCGGCCGCCAAGAAGGGCAAGCCGGAGUCCGCCGCGGCCUCGGCCGCCGUGGCACGCCCCACGCUGACGCGGACCGAGGCGCUCGCGGCCGCCGCCGUGCUCGCGCUCUUCGUCGCCGGGAUCUUCUGCAUCUUCCUCGCCGCGCCCCGCCGCGAGUUCGGCCAGAUCCUCCGCCUCCCGCGCAGCCUCGCCGACGUGCGCCUCCUCAAGGACAACCUUGCUGUGUAUGCAAGUGAGCAUCAGGCAAAUUUUGUGCUGGGGUAUUGCUCCAUAUACAUCUUCAUGCAAACAUUUAUGAUCCCAGGGACAAUAUUUAUGUCUUUACUUGCUGGAGCGCUUUUUGGGGUGAUUAAAGGGGGCAUUUUGGUCGUCUUCACUGCCACAGCUGGGGCAUCAUCUUGCUAUUUUCUCUCCAAGUUGAUUGGCAGACCUUUGGUUUGCUGGUUGUGGCCUGAAAGACUGAGAUAUUUCCAGUCAGAGAUUGCAAAGAGGAAAGACAAGCUGUUGAACUACAUGCUUUUUCUGAGAAUAACACCAACCCUGCCCAAUACAUUCAUAAAUAUGGCGUCACCCAUUGUCGACAUACCUUUCCAUAUUUUCUUUGCUGCAACACUAAUUGGACUCAUCCCAGCAUCUUAUAUUACUGUAAAGGCUGGGAGAGCUCUAGGCGAUCUAAGAUCAGUUAGGGAAUUGUACGACUUCAAGACAUUAGUUGUCCUGUUCCUCAUUGGAUCUGUUGCCGUCGUCCCAACCAUCCUGAAAAGGAAGAGAACAUACGAGUGA